CAGAGUUGAUCAUGGCUCAGAUUGAACGCUGGCGGCAGGCUUAACACAUGCAAGUCGAGCGGGGAAGGUUGCUUCGGUAACUGACCUAGCGGCGGACGGGUGAGUAAUGCUUAGGAAUCUGCCAUUUAGUGGGGGACAACAUUCCGAAAGGAAUGCUAAUACCGCAUACGUCCUACGGGAGAAAGCAGGGGAUCUUCGGACCUUGCGCUAAAUGAUGAGCCUAAGUCGGAUUAGCUAGUUGGUGGGGUAAAGGCCUACCAAGGCGACGAUCUGUAGCGGGUCUGAGAGGAUGAUCCGCAACUGGGACUGAGACAC
rnacentral:rRNA from 1 species